rnacentral:pre_miRNA from 1 species
CGGUUCUUCAUCAGGCAGCCUUGGUUUUGAAAUAACACAAGCUGCCUGAUUAAGAGCUUUU